rnacentral:sRNA from 1 species
AUCAACGCUGAGUUCCUGCAUUUGCAGGGAACGGGGGAACCAUCAGGCCGUCUGGCCUACUUGGGGUGAAUCCAAAGGAGACUGCGUAAGUCUCAAUAGGUAGGGCGACUCUCACCGUCCGAAUCCGACAGCUAACCUCGUAAGCGUAAAGAGAGA